UACGUAGGGGGCUAGCGUUGUCCGGAUUUAUUGGGCGUAAAGAGCUCGUAGGUGGUUCGGUAAGUCGGAUGUGAAAUCUCCAGGCUCAACCUGGAGGGGUCAUUCGAUACUGCCGUGACUAGAGUUCGGUAGAGGAGUGUGGAAUUCCUGGUGGAGCGGUGAAAUGCGUAGAUAUCUGGAGGAACACCGGUGGCGAAGGCGGCAUUCUGGACCGACAUUGACGCUGAGGAGCGAAAGCCAGGGGAGCAAACGGG
rnacentral:rRNA from 1 species